rnacentral:rRNA from 1 species
CCUACGGGAGGCAGCAGUGGGGAAUAUUGCACAAUGGGGGAAACUCUGAUGCAGCGACGCCGCGUGAGCGAAGAAGUAUUUCGGUAUGUAAAGCUCUAUCAGCAGGGAAGAAAAUGACGGUACCUGAUUAAGAAGCCCCGGCUAACUACGUGCCAGCAGCCGCGGUAAU